AGUUAGUACCAGAAUCCAGAUUCUAGGACUGCAUUAAGAUCACCUUAGACCCCAGAUCAUCUCUGACUCUCCUAAUCCCAUGCACAAUCAUCUUUAAAAUUUGACCCCUACUAACCUAUCUUUAGCCUAGAGGCCACAGUCCUACGUGUCUAAUCUAGCAAGGACCCCUCUAGUCCCAGGCAGAAGCAUUGAAGGGAAAGGAGUGUUGGGUGGACUAAAGGGAAGGUUGUCACCUGAGUAUUAGCCAAGGGUAUCAGGUGACCCUGGAAUCCUGAGUUCAAUUUCCUCAGGUUGCCAGGCAAGAAGCAGGGCCAAGUUAAUCUUUAGCUGCCUGUUUGCCCCUCCAGAGAGGGAGACCUGGAACCUGCCAGGCAGGUAACCCGGGGAGGAGGAAGCACUGAGUUAAAGGAGAGACCUGGAGCAGAUCGGGGGAGAGACAGACAGAGACAGGGACAGAGGGAGACACAGAGGGAGAGACAGAGUUUUCCCAUGUCUUUUCAUCCACUUCCAAGUAGUUAAGAUGGGAUAAGGAAGCUUUUGGUGGACUUCCCCUACCUUCCUCCAGCCCCAGACCUCGGUAGAAACAGGAAGGACAAGGUCUCGACAGGCUCCUGGUUCCAGGCUGGCUUCUUUUUCUCCUCCCCCAUAGAAGAUCUGGCAAGGCUGCCUCCAGAGUGGCUGCCAGUCAUCUCUUUGGCCUCAGUGUUCCAGCCUUUUGGAGGAUGGGGAGUUCUGUUUUUCAAAUCUGCGACUGUAUUGGAGAGAGUGAGGAAUGAUUGGUACAGUAGGAAGAACAGAUCCACCGAAGACCUGGAUUUGAAUUCUGUCUCUAACUUACUCACCCAGACUGCCUUCUGGGUAAAACCGCAACAUUGGAGCAGGGAAUCUUUAAAGUCCCUUCUAGAUCUAAGGCAUGUUACUUUAUUUGUAGAGUUCUGUUAGAAGGGAGUCAGGACCUCCAAGGGUCCCUUCCAGCUCUGAAGCUGGGAUUCUACUUGGCCCCGUUCCACUAUGUGGAUGGCUCAUAUAUUUAGAGCUGCCUAUGAAGUUAUCAAAUCCAUCCCUCCUCAUUUUAUAGAAGAAACUGAGGCACAGAGAGGUUAAGUGACUUACCUGGGGUCACACAGCUACUUUCUGAGGCAAGAAUUUGAACCUAGGUCUUCCUGAUAACAAAUCCAGUGCCCUAUCCACUAUACUGGGCUGUCUCAAUAGGCAGACAACUACCUACCAUCUCAGCUCUUCAGCUUAUACAAAGUCAGUUUAUCUCAAAGCCAAAUUUCGAAGCAGUGGAAUAACCUGUGAGACAGAUGAACCUCUUAGCACUUCCUGGAGAAACAUG
rnacentral:lncRNA from 1 species